AUUGAACGCUGGCGGCGGGCCUAACACAUGCAAGUCGAGCGGAUGAAGGGAGCUUGCUCCUGGAUUCAGCGGCGGACGGGUGAGUAAUGCCUAGGAAUCUGCCUGGUCGUGGGGGAUAACGUCCGGAAACGGGCGCUAAUACCGCAUACGUCCUGAGGGAGAAAGUGGGGGAUCUUCGGACCUCACGCUAUCAGAUGAGCCUAGGUCGGAUUAGCUAGUUGGUGGGGUAAAGGCCUACCAAGGCGACGAUCCGUAACUGGCCUGAGAGGAUGAUCAGUCACACUGGAACGGAGAGACGGUCCGGACUCCUACGGGAGGCAGCAGUGGGGAAUAUUGGAGAAGGGGCGAAAGCCUGAUCCAGCCAUGCCGCGUGUGGGAGGAAGGUCUUCGGAUUGUAAAACACUUUAAGUUGGGAGGAAGGGCAGUAAGUUAAUACCUUGCUGUUUUGACGUUACCAACAGAAUAAGCACCGGCUAACUUCGUG
rnacentral:rRNA from 1 species